GAUUUUUUUUAGUUACUGCUUUAAAACCAUGACAUUUAUUUGGUGCGUUGACCAGGAAACAAAAUUAGCAAAUCUAAACCACUACACUUUUCUUUCCCGGAGUGCAUCAGGGGCAAAGGAGAAAAUAUUACUACAUUGUACAAUCAUUUAUGUUGGAAAAGACCUUCAAGACCAUCAAGACCCAACAUAAAACUAGUGCUUCCAAACGGACCACAAAAUCUUAUCUCUAGGCACCACCUCUGCACAUUUUAGGUACUUCCAGGAUUAUGAUUUCACCACUUUCCUGGGCUGCCUGUUCCAGCAUUAAAUAUACUUUUUGGCAAAAAAAAAAGAAAAAAUAUUCCUAAAAUUCUACCUCAGCCUUUCCUGGUACAACUUGAGGCUAUUUCUAGUGGUGUGUCACUUGCUGUUUGGAAGAUUCUGAAUCCCAUCUUGCUACAGCCUCCGUUCAGGGUGUUGUAGAGAGCAGGACGGUCCCCCCUGAGCCUCUUUUUUGUCCUGGCUGAGCCCCCUCUGCUGCUCCUCAUCAGAAUUGUGCUCCAGACCCUGCACCAACUUCAUUACUCUUCCUUGUAAACACUCCACCGCCUCAACACAUUGAGUAGCAGAGAUUGAUACAGGAAACCCAAGUCCUGAAUGUGCGUCUGAAGAGUGGACAUGUAUUCUGAAUAUUUUUCCUGAGCCCCAUGAGAUAUUUGAAGAGUCAAAUUUUCUUUUCUGCUGCCUCUGUUCACUUAUAAACUCCACCAAAAGCCUGGAGAGCCCAGCAGCGCAGAAAAUUGAGCUUCAACCAGACUCUGAAGAACUGACGCAAUCAGGCCAGCAGCUCCUUUUUAAACAAGGCUUAGCAAUGACCCAUAAAAGGAGAUCUCUUGUCUUUGAAACACAGCCUCAGCAAAUUUUCUGUCAAUUAAAAUGUAUUAAAAGAAAAAUUAUGUUGGUUUUUUUUUAAAAAAAAAAGUGUGGCUUUAUAUAUAUUUUUUUUCCUCCAGAAUGACUGUAGCAUACUGGGAAAACUUUUCUAAUUUGGAAAGCUUAACUCUGAUUCCUUGCUUAUACCCUCCCCUGAAAUAUGCACAUACUUGAAUUUAAUUGUGUUCCAGACAGUUCAAUACAGUAGAUAAAUUUCUUCUUGCAAAGUGUUGCUUGCUGACAUUUUUUUUUAGUAGCAAAGCACUGAGAAAGUUUAUGUACAGAAAGUUAAGGGGAAUGUGACUGUUGGACACAAUAAAAGCUCAGUUUAGUUCA
rnacentral:lncRNA from 1 species